AUGGAUUCCAGAACAGCAUUCUGCGGCGCUUUGCUACUGCUCGUGACACUGCUACCUCUUUCAGCUAGCGCAUCGAGCAAACUCUACAUCGUGUAUAUGGGGGAGAAGAAGCACGAUGACCCGUCCGUGGUCACCGCGUCUCACCAUGACAUGCUAACCUCUGUUUUUGGGAGCAAGGAUGAAGCCUUGAGGUCGAUAGUUUACAGUUACAAGCAUGGAUUUUCUGGUUUCGCGGCGAUGCUCACUGAGUCUCAGGCUGAGGCAAUCGCAAAAUUCCCUGAAGUUGCCACUGUGGAGCCUAACACUUUCCACGAAACGCACACAACUAGGAGUUGGGACUUUCUUGGCCUUGACCAUAACCAACCAGCACAACAACCGGGACUACUCAAAAAAGCAAAGUACGGUGAAGAUGUCAUCGUGGGUGUGAUCGAUACAGGCAUAUGGCCAGAAUCACGAAGCUUUGACGACAAAGGGUAUGGCCCUGUACCGGCACGGUGGAAAGGGAAAUGCGAGACUGGCGAGGAGUUCAACGCCACAAGUUGCAACAAAAAGAUCAUUGGUGCACGGUGGUAUGGCAGAGGCAUCAGCGCUGAGUUGCUAAAGGGCGACUACAAAUCGGCUCGGGACAACAACGGCCAUGGCACGCACGUCGCCUCAACUAUCGCCGGCGGGGAAGUGCAGGGCGUGAGCUAUGGAGGACUGGGCAUGGGCAUGGCACGAGGCGGGGCACCACGUGCGCGGCUCAGUAUCUACAAGGCGUGCUGGGUGGGCGGGAGUUGCUCUGGUGCGGCUGUCCUUGCGGCUGUUGAUGAUGCCAUACACGACGGUGUGGACGUCUUGUCGCUCUCGAUUGGAGGGGCUGGUCAGCAGUUCCCCGGGACGCUCCAUGCUGUGCAAAGAGGGAUCUCUGUUGUGUUUAGUGGAGGGAACGAUGGACCUGUGCCGCAAACUGUGGGUAAUGCCCUGCCGUGGGUUACGACGGUGGCCGCUAGCACGAUUGACCGGUCUUUCCCGACCUUGAUAUCGCUGGGAAACAAAGAAAAGCUCGUGGGGCAAUCUCUAAACUACAACGCAGCUAUGAACAACAGCGGCUUUCAGGACCUUGUUCAUGUGCAGAGCUGCGACACAGAAUCACUAUCACUGAGCAACGUCACCGGAAAAACCGUCCUCUGUUAUGCACCGGCGCAGGCGGCCAUCACGCCACCCAGGGCAGAACUUCAUUCUCUCAUCAAUCGUACUAUCGAGGCCGGCGCAAAGGGCCUCAUCUUCGCACAAUACACUGUCAACCUUCUUGAAAUCCUGACCAGCUGCGAGGGAUUUAUGUCUUGUGCACUGGUGGAUUUCGAGAUCGCACAAAGAAUCGCCUCCUACUCAAAAAUGACUGAGAGUCCGGUGGUGAAGAUAUCGCCAGCUGUAAGCGUUGUGGGAAAUGGGGUGUUGUCACCGUAUGUCGCCUCAUUCUCGUCAAGAGGCCCGAGCCUUGCUUUCCCUCGCAUACUCAAGCCCGACAUUGCUGCACCUGGCGUCGGCAUCUUGGCAGCGGAGCGUGACUCCUACGUGUUCCAUUCUGGGACAUCCAUGGCGUGCCCACAUGUCUCUGCGGUGACGGUGUUGCUCAAGUCAGUUCACCCUGACUGGUCACCUGCCAUGAUCAAGUCUGCCAUCGUCACCACAUAUCAUCAAAAACAUGCACCAAUCAAGAGCAGUCUAUACUUGACAAAUCCUUCAAAAUAUGCACUAAUCAUCAUACUACCAUCGAGUAAUACAUGA
rnacentral:rRNA from 1 species